GACGAACGCUGGCGGCGUGCCUAAUACAUGCAAGUCGAGCGAAGCGGCGGAUGGGUGAGUAACGCGUGGGUAACCUGCCCUUAAGUCUGGGAUACCAUUUGGAAAAAGCUGCUAAUACCGGAUACUAAAGGAUGGACCUGCGAUGCAUUAGCUGGUUGGUAAGGUAACGGCUUACCAGGGCGAUGAUGCAUAGCCUAGUGGGGUGACUGAUCGCACCCAUUGGGACUGAGCCACGGUCCAAACUCCUAAGGGAGGCAGCAGUAGGGAAUCUUCCACAAUGGACGAAAGUCUGAUGGAGUAACGCCGCGUGAGUGAAGAAGGUUUUCGGAUCGGAAAGCUCUGUUGUUGGUGAAGCGGUAAUCAACCAGAAAGUCACGGCUAACUACGUGCCAGCAGCCGCGGUAAUUC
rnacentral:rRNA from 1 species